AGGGAAGGGAACCCGGUGAACUGAAACAUCUAAGUAGCCGGAGGAGAAGAAAACAACAGUGAUUUCCGAAGUAGCGGCGAGCGAACCGGAAGGAGCCCAAACCGGAGUGCGUGCACUCCGGGGUUCGGACCGCAUCAACUGAUUCAGGAAGGGUAACGGAAUGGUCCUGGAAAGACCAGCCAGAGAGGGUGAGAGCCCCGUACGUGAAACCAGACCUGACAGAGCGGUAUCCAGAGUACCACGAGACACGAGAAACCUUGUGGGAAUAUGCGGGGACCACCCCGUAAGGCUAAAUACUACUCAGUGACCGAUAGCGCAUAGUACUGUGAAGGAAAGGUGAAAAGGACCCCGGGAGGGGAGUGAAAGAGAACCUGAAACCCUGUGUUUACAAGCUGUGGGACCACGUUAAGGUGGGACCGCGUACUUUUUGUAGAACGGUCCGGCGAGUUGUGCAUACUGGCAAGGUUAAGCACUUAAGGUGUGGAGCCGAAGGGAAACCGAGCCUUAAUAGGGCGCAAGUUAACUAAGUUAACUUUUAGUCAGUAUGUGCAGACCCGAAACCGGGUGAUCUAUCCAUGUCCAGGUUGAAGUUGCCGUAAAAGGCAAUGGAGGACCGAACGCACAUCCGUUGAAAAGGGUGGCGAUGAGGUGUGGAUAGGGGAGAAAUUCCAAUCGAACCCGGAGAUAGCUGGUUCUCCUCGAAAUAGCUUUAGGGCUAGCCUCAUAAAGAGUCUUGCGGAGGUAGAGCACUGAAUACCCUAGGGGGCGUCAAAGCUUACCGAAGGUUAUCAAACUCCGAAUGCCGUGAAGAUGUUAUAUGGGAGUCAGACUGCACGAGAUAAGUUGGGCAGUCAAAAGGGAAAGAGCCCAGACCUACAGCUAAGGUCCCAAAGUGCGUGUUAAGUGGAAAAGGAUGUGGGAUUUCAAAGACAACUAGGAUGUUGGCUCAGAAGCAGCCACACAUUCAAAGAGUGCGUAAUAGCUCACUAGUCGAGAGGUCCUGCGCCGAAAAUGUCCGGGGCU
rnacentral:rRNA from 1 species